ensembl:lncRNA
CGGCUGCCGACCUUCAACUAUUAACCUUUCUUUUUUUUUUUCUCUCUCUUUUUUUUUCCUUCUUUAUCCUGAAAACAGCCGGUAUGGCAAGAAUGCUUUGAUCUGAAUAUUACAGGAUGGAAAAUGAAUCGGGACUGGGAGGUGAUGAGCCAGGGGAGGAAGUGGUGGGCAGCUUCGCCCUGGGUUGCAUGGAAUACAAGUAGAUUGCUCAGACUGGAAUUUCUGAUGCUGUUCACACCUCCCAGCAUGAACCUGAUACCAGACCGGUUUAUAUCAAGAAUACAAACUCUGCGCUCAGGCAAUAUUAUGCAUUAUUCCGUCAGUGCAGCUGUAAGCACCAUAGGAAUGAAGAGGAUCAAAAUGGCAAUUAAUGCUACACUUCUAAGAAUGCCUGUCUUAGUUUCUGAAGUUUGUACUACACUCUCACUUGGCACAGCUCUGCAUUCAACACCUUUCCUUCCCAGGUUGACCACAUCUUUCUGUAAUCUCCUGCCUCCUACUUGCUUCAGUGAAGCCCUAAUCCAGCUCAGCUAUCACCCUGCACAAACAAGCAGCUCUCCAGCUGAUCUCUUUGGCUCAGAGUGAGACUUUUUAGCUGUUCGUCCUCUUCUUCCUCUGCUUCCAUUUGCUCUCCUUUCAGUCUGACUUGCACUAAGGUCUGUUCUUCCCCCAGGGCUCUCUACUUCUGCUGAUGUUCUGGGUCCAUCACAAGGUCUUCGCAAACCUGGCAGUUUCUGCUAGACUAACAGCUGUCUUCAUACUCCCAUAGCUCUGGGGCUUCCUGGAGUCAGAAGCACAUCACAAAGCAAUGAAUUUCAUGACUCCCAUGUGAAAAAAUUACUGGCUUAAAUGAAGUUAGAAGAAACCUUCUGGUCCAGAGGAUGCAAGCCAACCUGCUGGGGUCCCACAGCUGAGCUGCUAAAAUUUGGCCAAAGACAAAUAAAUUCUAUAGGAGAUGGGACAUACUUGAGGUGUGGCAGAGCAGUAAGUUAUUGCUCCACACCUACUGAGUUUUCAGAAUGUCCAAAUGUCUCAGCUGAGCUGCAAGUGGUUGCUUCUUGUUUUUGGCUGGCCUCAGUUCCUCAGAGCAUUGGAAGGAGGAGAUGCAGACACAAGAAGUGUUUCCAUCACAGAAAAAGCUGAACUACAUAAUGUCUGAAACGAUGGCUGGCGGCGUCCAGGCUUGUCUGUGUACCUAUUUGGGGAGCUGGAGAACAGCUCUGGAGGCACUUACGUGAGUCCGGAGUGUCCUUUAGGCGGCUCACUUGGAAGACAAUAAAACUGAUAUUUAGCAGAUUGCUGUCUCACACCUGAAUCGCCAGGAAGGGGUACAACAGCCUUCCCAAGAUGAAAUCCUUUGGUGAGAAAAGGAGCAAACUACAGUGAUGGAGAAAUAACUGUAACCAACCCAAAGGAUUAGGAGACAACCAAUUGCUGUCUCUACAAUACUAGAAAGUGCCUAAGUUCAUAGACCUUCAUUCUUUCCGUGCCAUUAUUCCUUUGUCAUCUUCUUAAUCUGCACAUGGUUGUUCUGUAUGUCUUUGGGUAUACUAGAAAUACAAAAAAUACAAGAAAAUUUCAAAAAGAGGAAAGCCCUCUAAAUUAAUCCAUCUCACCCAAACAACUUUACUUUACCUUUAUAUUGUUUGUAAAAUUUUAAGAAAUACUCAAUGGAAAAAGCUGUAAAGAUACCUUUUCUGCAAGCAUAGCUAAAAUCAUCAACAGACGCUUCCAUCAGAAUUACUAAUGUUUAAAUUCUGUGACUUUCUGCCGUAGCUACUAAAUCCUGCAGCCAUCACAAACACCUCUGUGCUGACCUCGUGAUUCUCAGGACUCCACAAGCUGUAGGAAGAAACUUUUGUGAAUAAAGGCUACAUACUCUGGAAAAUCUGGAAGAGUUUCAUACAGGUGUGCAGUCUGUCUAAAUACUCUUUAACCAUUACGUAUCAUAUUUAAUGGGUGAUGGGAGAACAAUAGCACGUUCUACAAAAUAAUUACUGUAGUUACAGAGCAGAGAUCAUUCCACAUCAAACCCAUAAAGUUAUAAAAUAAUGUACAUAUAUCCUUAGUAUAUUUAGGUAUGACAUUACUGUUUUGAAGUCUGUUUAAUUCUCACACAUCCUUGUCUCUAAGCUCUGACUAGCGUGAAAUUAAUGUCUUUUUAGACCAUGGCAAGCUUUUCUUGCUGGUUUGAAAUCCAUGCUGCCUUUGCUGGUAGGGAUGCUCUUACCGCAGCCCCAGGGGGCUCCUGGAAAUCAAGCAAUACCGUUUUCUUCUGCAGGAGAAAGGAACCAGCUUGGAAGGGGUUAAGUGGCUGGAGACCAGAUGCAGCUGGGCCCUGUUAAUCUGCAGGGACCAGCUGCUUUGUAUAAAAAAGAAGACAAGAAACAGAGUGGCUAGGGCUGGGGGAAAGCUGGGGGUAUUGAAUUGCUUAUGUUCUGGGAAAGGGAGUGAGUGUUUGCAUUUCAGAUGCUCGGUGCUCUGGAAGAGCAAGAAGAGCUCUGUUGGUAUUUGGGUUUGGUUGGGGAUGCUGCUGUUGCUGAUAGUGACUGAGCCUGGGUACUGGCUUUUAGUGCUCAGGUGCUCCUGAAAUGAUGGCUUGCAGGGUAGAAGCCCAGAGUAACUGAGCAAGGCAGGUGUAACAGGCUGCAAACCGGCCUUGAUUUCAUUUGAAUGCUUUUGAAAGAUGGAAAAAGGUUAAUGGAAGCCUCACCACUUUCUGGAUUCCUGAUGCAAAAGCCAGGGUGACUCCUCUCUUAUUUAGAAGGUUCUCAAGCAAAGCAACUACUGUUUCUCAAACAUAAUGAAUUACUUCAUCUGCCCCCAUUGCAAGGAUUGUACCUGUGUAUGCUAUAUCCACAUCAUCCACUGCAGCACUUGCCUGUGACAAAUGGAGUGUAGGAAGAAAGCCCCUGAGUAGUUUUCACUAUAUCUUUUAAGUAUUAAUUCUGAGCAAGUUCUCUGUCUGUCUUACUGUAGCUGCUUUGAAUGAAAUCUAGGCAGAAGUUGAAUUGCAUAAUACUAUGUACAGAGCUAUUGAAAUGUAUUUAGU